rnacentral:rRNA from 1 species
GUGCCAGCCGCCGCGGUAAUACCAGCUCCCCGACUGGUCGGGACGAUUAUUGGGUCUAAAGCGUCCGUAGCCGGCCCUGUAUGUGAUCCGUUAAAUCCAGCGGCUCAACCGCUGGGCUGCGGAUCAUACUAUGGGGCUAGGGGACGGGAGAGGCCGGAGGUACUCCGCGGGUAGGGGUAAAAUCCGCUGAUCCGCGGAAGACCAACAGUGGCGAAGGCGUCCGGCCAGAACGCGCCCGACGGUGAGGGACGAAAGCCAGGGGAGCGAACCGGAUUAGAUACCCGGGUAGUCCUGGCCGUAAACGAUGCCCGCUAGGUCUUGGUGAAGCUUAGGGCUUCAUCAGGGCCGCAGGGAAGCCGUUAAGCGGGCCACCUGGGGAGUACGGCCGCAAGGCUGAAACUUAAAGGAAUUGGCGGGGGAGCACCACAAGGGGUGAAGCCUGCGGUUUAAUUGGAGUCAACGCCGGGAACCUUACCAGGGGUGACGGCAGAGUGAAGGUCAGGCUAAAGACCUUACCUGACAAGCCGAGAGGAGGUGCAUGGCCGUCGCCAGCUCGUGCUGUGAAGUGUCCUGUUAAGUCAGGCAACGAGCGAGACCC